CAUUCACGGAGAGUUUGAUCCUGGCUCAGGACGAACGCUGGCGGCGUGCUUAACACAUGCAAGUCGAACGAUGAACCGCUUUCGGGCGGGGAUUAGUGGCGAACGGGUGAGUAACACGUGGGCAAUCUGCCCUGCACUCUGGGACAAGCCCUGGAAACGGGGUCUAAUACCGGAUAUGACUGUCCAUCGCAUGGUGGAUGGUGUAAAGCUCCGGCGGUGCAGGAUGAGCCCGCGGCCUAUCAGCUUGUUGGUGAGGUAGUGGCUCACCAAGGCGACGACGGGUAGCCGGCCUGAGAGGGCGACCGGCCACACUGGGACUGAGACACGGCCCAGACUCCUACGGGAGGCAGCAGUGGGGAAUAUUGCACAAUGGGCGAAAGCCUGAUGCAGCGACGCCGCGUGAGGGAUGACGGCCUUCGGGUUGUAAACCUCUUUCAGCAGGGAAGAAGCGAAAGUGACGGUACCUGCAGAAGAAGCGCCGGCUAACUACGUGCCAGCAGCCGCGGUAAUACGUAGGGCGCAAGCGUUGUCCGGAAUUAUUGGGCGUAAAGAAGGCGGCUUG
rnacentral:rRNA from 1 species